rnacentral:rRNA from 1 species
CAAGCCACUCUUAGUACAUGUUCUAUUUGUGGAAUGGAAGAUGAAAAUAUGUUUCAUGCGCUAGUCAAGUUCCCUAAGGCAUAUGCGUUGCGUAUGGCAAUGAGGGAUAUAUGGGAUCUUCCUGCGGAGGAGGUUUUUAAGCAUUCGGGGUCUAAUUGGUUUCUUAUUCUUUUGGACCAAUCGAAUGCUACUCUCCGUGACCAAAUUAUUUUCAUUUUCUGGAGAGCCUAACACUUGAGGAAUGACUUGAUAUUUGGUACGGGGAAG